AGAGUUUGAUCCUGGCUCAGGACGAACGCUGGCGGCGUGCUUAACACAUGCAAGUCGAACGGGGUGUUUAUUUCGGUAAACGCCAAGUGGCGAACGGGUGAGUAACGCGUAAGCAAUCUACCUUCAAGAUGGGGACAACACUUCGAAAGGGGUGCUAAUACCGAAUGAAUGUAAGAGUAUCGCAUGAGACACUUACUAAAGGAGGCCUCUAUAUAUAAGCUUCCGCUUGAAGAUGAGCUUGCGUCUGAUUAGCUAGUUGGUAAGGGUAAAGGCCUACCAAGGCGACGAUCAGUAGCCGGUCUGAGAGGAUGAACGGCCACAUUGGGACUGAGACACGGCCCAGACUCCUACGGGAGGCAGCAGUGGGGAAUCUUCCGCAAUGGGCGAAAGCCUGACGGAGCAACGCCGCGUGAACGAAGAAGGUCUUCGGAUCGUAAAGUUCUGUUGUUAAGGGCGAAGGAUGCUUAUUAUAAUACAGUAAGUAUUUGACGGUACUUAACGAGGAAGCCACGGCUAACUACGUGCCAGCAGCCGCGGUAAUACGUAGGUGGCAAGCGUUGUCCGGAAUUAUUGGGCGUAAAGGGAGCGCAGGCGGGAAAUUAAGCGGAUCUUAAAAGUGCGGGGCUCAACCUCGUGAUGGGGUCCGAACUGAUUUUCUUGAGUGCAGGAGAGGAAAGCGGAAUUCCCAGUGUAGCGGUGAAAUGCGUAGAUAUUGGGAAGAACACCAGUGGCGAAGGCGGCUUUCUGGACUGUAACUGACGCUGAGGCUCGAAAGCUAGGGUAGCGAACGAGAUUAGAUACCCCGGUAGUCCUAGCCGUAAACGAUGCAUACUAAGUGUGGGAGGUAUCGACCCCUUCCGUGCCG
rnacentral:rRNA from 1 species